UUUUGUUAUUCUUUACACCACACAGUAACUCACAUCCAUGUGGUGGUUCACAGGUUUAUAGCAUAAGAAGCAUUCUCACUUACCUCUGCACCUUUCGUAUUCCUAAUAGAUGUAUGAAAUGGGUGGGGCAUCUAUAGAGACUCUAAGAUACAAACUUCUCCAUGUAAGACCAUACAUCUACGCAGUCACAGAGCCGGGGAAGAACUAAUCAUUGAUUCCGACUCAAGCUAUUUGCCUUUCAUUUCUGUGGGCCUGAAGCCUGUACCCAUGAAUGCUCCAUACAUGUUGAUGAGGAAGAGGAUGCCUUUUUACCAGGCAUUCAAUGUACUAGAUGCUCUUUGUUGCUUUUUCUUCAUCUGCACGUGGGGAAUGAGCUGGAGGGCGUGAAGAGGAGCACAGAAGGACAAGAGUAACCCAGAACAGACUGUGAGCACCCGUAAUGCUCUCACUCCCAAUGUGGAAUGGGUUCUUCAUAACAGCUCUGGGAGCAUGGCAAUAUAGGUCUUAUUCAUGCUGAAUCUUUUUUUUUUUUUUUUUUUUUUUUUUGAGACUGGCUUUCACUCUGUUGCCCAGGCUAGAGUGCAGUUGCACAAUCAUGUUUCACUGCAGCCUGGACCUCCAAGGCUCAAGCAAGCCUCUCACCUCAGCCUCCCAGGUAGCACCACCACGCCCAGCUAAUUUUUGUGUAUUUUUUGUAGAGACUG
rnacentral:lncRNA from 10 species